UUUUAUCGCAGUUUGUAUCGACGAUUUAGCAGAGGCAGGUUUUGUAUAUGAGUUUGCUUCGGAUAAUUACGUGCAUGUAUUCUCAGAAGUAUGCUUUGGUAUAGAAGUUUCAUAUAAUAAGUUUGCAAUGGCUUACUGUGAACAUUUCGCAUAUAUUUUGAAUUCGAAAAAUAAAUAUGUGACGAUAAAUGAUCAACCGAAUAGCUAUAUACAGCAUAUUCCUGCAAAUCUUACACCGAGGAAUCCAUGGGACUUUUGUACAAAUACUGUUAUAGAUUUGGAUAAUCCACACGAGCGAGAGAAAUAUGAUUAAAUAAAUACAAAUUAUAUUCAUUUACAAAAGUAUAUAAAAUGUAUAACGUGAUGGAAUUGCCCCCACGAAAGAGUAUCUUGUGUUAUUUAUUUUUCAUUAUUUUAUGUUACUCAUCAAUUUACCUUAUUGUUCAGUAACACGUAAUAGAUUGCACGAAUAAAAACUUCAUGUUAAUAUCAUUAAAAAAAA